UUUCAUCAGAGAUAAGAUGCCAAAGGUUUUUGUUUUUGUUUUUUUUAAAAAAUUAGAGAUCGUCAACUUUGCAAACCUGAUUUCUAACAUGACCCUGCUAGCAUCCUCAUUCUUGCUUCUGACGCUCCUGAUAGCAAGGACUUUGGGAGAUGCAGCAAUCUCAUUCCUCCAGCCUGUCUCCAUGUCAGCAUCCCUAGGAAGUUCCAUUCAGAUCUCUUGCACCCUUUCCAAUGGCACUAUGGCAACUUACACCAUAAGUUGGUUUCAGCAUCAACAGCCAAGACAGUCUCCAAGGCUGCUCAUCUACAGGUCCAGGGAAAGAGCCUCUGGGAUUCCUGAGCGUUUCUCCGCAGACACCUACGGCAACACUGCCAAGCUGACCAUUUCGAGUGUUGAGGAGGGGGAUGAAGGGGAUUAUUAUUGUGCUGUGUGGCACAACAACGGGUUACACACUGUUGCCUUCAGAUGCAGAACUGAAACAGAAAACCCUACCCCCACCACCCAAAGGAACCAAGUGGACAGGAAUAAACCCACUGACUGGAUGGUGAGGGAUGGAAGGAUUUGUAGUCCUUGCAGACUGCUGGUCAUUUGCCUUCUUUUAGAGAGUCAUUGAGGCCAUUUGGAGGUUCCACACAACUUUGCACCACUCAGAUGACCCUGAACCUCUAAAUGGUCCCAACAACUCUCUCAAAGAAGGCAAAUGACCAGCUGAAGAAGCUUCUUGGAUGAGAAGCAAAAUGUCUUCAAAGAAAAACAAGAAAGUCCAGUCCUGAAAAAAGCACCUUUGGGACAACCAUGACCUGGAAGACUGAGGAUCUCCAUAGAGGACUAUCUUCAAUGUUCAAGCAGAAACUAAGUCUGGCAAUCACCAUCUUCAUCUCAUGAAGGCAGAGAAUUGAGCACAUUGAUCCUACUUAAUGGAGAACUGUGGCAAAAUCUUUCUUGUCAUUGCUGACAAGCCUGGCCUCAUUUAUUGCAGGGGGCUGAGCAUAGGAGUGACCACACAGAACAAUUUCCAGUUUAAAAAAAAUAGUGUCUUGAUAUAGAAAGUGAGUUGAACCAGCUAUGGGGGAAAAAAAUGAAGCAAGGAUCAGGUAAACCAGACAAGAUGAACUAAAUCUUCUUUAUUACAAGGCUAAAAUGACAG